rnacentral:sRNA from 1 species
UUGGUGAACCAGCGGAGGGAUCAUUACCGAGUUUACAACUCCCAAACCCAAUGUGAACGUUACCAAACUGUUGCCUCGGCGGGAUCUCUGCCCCGGGUGCGUCGCAGCCCCGGACCAAGGCGCCCGCCGGAGGACCAACCAAAACUCUUAUUGUAUACCCCCUCGCGGGUUUUUUAUAAUCUGAGCCUUCUCGGCGCCCCUCGUGGGCGUUUCGAAAAUGAAUCAAAACUUUCAACAACGGAUCUCUUGGUUCUGGCAUCGAUGAAGAACGCAGCGAAAUGCGAUAAGUAAUGUGAAUUGCAGAAUUCAGUGAAUCAUCGAAUCUUUGAACGCACAUUGCGCCCGCCAGUAUUCUGGCGGGCAUGCCUGUCCGAGCGUCAUUUCAACCCUCGAACCCCUCCGGGGGGUCGGCGUUGGGGAUCGGCCCUCCCUCUGCGGGGGCCGUCUCCGAAAUCCAGUGGCGGUCUCGCCGCAGCCUCUCCUGCGCAGUAGUUUGCACACUCGCACCGGGAGCGCGGCGCGUCCACAGCCGUUAAACACCCAACUUUCUGAAAUGUGACCUCGGAUCAGGUAGGAGUUCCCCCGAUUGG